rnacentral:tRNA from 1 species
GCAUUGGUGGUUCAGUGGUAGAAUUCUUGCCUUCUACCCAGAAGACGUGGAUUUAAUUUCUGGCCAAUGCA